UCGAGAAUUUUCCACAAUGGACGAAAGUCUGAUGGAGCGACGCCGCGUGGUUGAUGAAGUACUUAGGUAUGUAAAAACCUUUUAUGAGGGAAAAAGUUUAUUGAUUGUACCUCAUGAAUAAGGGGUUGCUAAACUCGUGCCAGCAGCAGCGGUAAUACGAGUGCCCCGAGCGUUAUCCGGAAUUAUUGGGCGUAAAGGGUGCGUAGGUGGUAUUAUUAGUCUCAUGUUAAAACCUUCAGCUCAACUGAAGAAUCGCAUGGGAAACGGUAGUACUAGAGGAUGUGAGAGGUGUGUAGAACUCAUGGAGUAGGGGUAAAAUCCGUUGAUAUCAUGGGGAAUACCAAAAGCGAAGGCAGCACACUGGCACACUCCUGACACUGAAGCACGAAAGCGUGGGUAG
rnacentral:rRNA from 1 species